GAAAUGCGAUACGUAGUGUGAAUUGCAGAAUUCCGUGAAUCAUCGAAUCUUUGAACGCAUAUUGCGGUCGAGGCUUCGGCCGAGACCAUGUCUGCCUCAGCGUCGGAGUAAACCCUCACCCCUCUACCAUUCUCUUUGGAGAACUGGUGGGCGGGCGUGGAGCUGGUCUCCCCAGGCUUUUACCAAAAAGCCUGGGCUGGCUGAAAUCCAGAGGUACGCGCACGGACCUGUAUGGCAACAGCAAGGUAGGUAGCUCGCUACUCCAGCUGAUGCUUUGGGCCCGCUGCCGCACCCGCAGGAAACCCCACUCUUUAUCGACCUGAGUUCAGGCAAGGCUACCCGCUGAACUUAA
rnacentral:misc_RNA from 1 species